GGGUGGAGGUUGAAACUGGAUUUAACUGACUCUUAAAAGAAGAAAGUAAAGAGAUCAGAAGGAGAGUUAAAGGUGUGUUGAUGAAGGAGUGAAUGUAAAGAACGUAUCGCCAUAUAUAAGACUGAAGUUGUCUAAUAGUGGAUUUUUUCGGACAGUGCAAUUGGCCUAGUCUGCACCCCAAGCCUGACUCCAUAUUGCCGCCAGGUGUAAGCUGACGUCGGUAUGGACAGUGGAACGGUCAGCAUCAGAUCAGACUUCCUCAGCCGAUUUCCAUCAUCGUGAAAGCUUUCCUACAAAUGGCCUGUGAAUUAAAUCCAGGAGAUGGCAA